GAACCACUUCGAUUUGUAAUUAGUAGGUUUUCAAGAACAUCUAGAAAUUGCACGUUUAAGAAAAUCUAAAGACAAAGGCAAUUUCAACGAACAAAACAACAACGGUUACAACAGGGAAUAUUGUUUUUAAGUCAACAUAUGAGCAGGUGAAUUUUGUUUUUCGGAAGAACAAUGGGAAGAAUUGGAAAGAGCUACAACAGAUUUAUAGGAAAUACGAAUCUGCAUCUUAUUAUAAACUUCCAGUACUCAGAAUUUUCUCUGCACAAUGUACCAAAAUAAGGCAGAAGAAAAAUCCACCAACAGUUCCGAAGCUGAAAUGUUGAAUCCCGGCUCUCACUCUUGCUCUAACCCCCCGCACUUCCUCCAAACUGCUGCCAGCCAAGAUGACGUUGUGGUCUCCAGUAAAAGCACCAGCCGCAGAUGCCUUUUUUCCUGGAUAACAAAUUCAAUUUAAAACAUUAGCAACAUAGCAAAGGAAUCAAAAAUAUUAUAAAAAAAAAGUUUUAAUUCCCAAUUUAAAGCCAACAACUCUUAAUCUGAACGAAAAUUAAGUGUCAAUAAACCAUGUUUUUUUCAACACCGUUUCUGAGACUUGAAUAUUACUCAUAAACCAAUAGCGAAUUAUUGGUAACAGAAUAUCAAUUAUUUUACAGUACACAAGAGAUUUGAAAUGACGCUUUAGUUUACAACGUUAAUCGAUAGACUUUUUUUCUAUUCAAAAAUACCUUUAAAUGUGCAUUCCAAUUCAUAAUUAGCGUCAAAGUUUUUUUGAUCUUCCCUCGUAAUAAUAAAGGAGGACUGAUCGAUCGUUUUUGGUUCAGUCUCUUCUACGUCAUCGUCUUCACCAUAUUUGGGCAGAAGAGAAAACUCCUUAUUGGCCCCCUUCACUUUUGUUUUUUCACUGGGAAUGGGUCAAAUUAAAAGAAAUGUCAUUAUA